rnacentral:rRNA from 2 species
GGAUGCGAUCAUACCAGCACUAAAGCACCGGAUCCCAUCAGAACUCCGAAGUUAAGCGUGCUUGGGCGAGAGCAGUACUAGGAUGGGUGACCUCCUGGGAAGUCCUCGUGUUGCAUUCC